rnacentral:tRNA from 1 species
GGAUAGCUGAUCAAGUGGCUUUAGGUGUCAGUUUUGAAAACUGAAGUAGAUAAAAAUACCGUGAGUUCGAAUCCCACUCCU